ACCUGCGGAAGGAUCAUUAUCGUAACAACGGAGGCGCGCGAGGGCUGUCGCUGGCCUUUUCGAAGGUCGUGCACGCCCCCGAGCCCCCCUCUCACAAUCCAUCUCACCCCUUUGUGCAUCACCGCGUGGGUCCCCCUUUGCGGGAGGGCUCACGUUUUCACACAAAAACUCGAUACAGUGUAGAAUGUUUAUUUUUGCGGUCACACGCGAUCUAAUACAACUUUCAACAACGGAUCUCUUGGCUCUCGCAUCGAUGAAGAACGCAGCGAAAUGCGAUACGUAAUGUGAAUUGCAGAAUUCAGUGAAUCAUCGAAUCUUUGAACGCACCUUGCGCCCCUUGGCAUUCCGAGGGGCACACCCGUUUGAGUGUCGUGAAUUCCUCAAAAACCCUCUUCUUUCGAAGAGGAUUUUUGGACUUGGAGGUUUUAAUGCUCGCCUUCGCAUGCGAAAGCGAGCUCCUCUCAAAAGAAUCAGUGGGGUCUGCUUUGCUGGUCCUUGACGUGAUAAGAUGUUUCUACGUUUUGGAUCUAGCAUCGUCCCUUGGAUGCCCCCGCUCCCAAUCGUCCUCACGGACAAACGAAAACGAAAACCCUUGACCUCAAAUCGGGUGAGACUACCCGCUGAACUU
rnacentral:rRNA from 1 species